GUGCUUGCUUCAGCAGCACAUAUACUAAAAUUGGAAUGAUACAGAGAAGAUUAGCAUGGCCCGUGCACAAGGAUGACAUGCAAAUUCAUAAAGCGUUCCAUAUUUUU
ensembl:snRNA U6 U6 spliceosomal RNA